AUGAAUAUUCUGGCCUGGAACUGUCGAGGCUUGGGGUUGGACUCGACGGUUGGCGAAUUGCGAGACCUGAUUAGGUCCUACAACCCGGCGGUGGUUUUUUUAAGUGAAACUAAAAAGAAGGUGCGAGCGAUGGAGAAACUCAAGUGGAGUUUGGGCUUCAGAAACGGUGUUGCUGUGGAUUAUAGCGGAAGAAGUGGGGGGCUAUCACUAUGGUGGAGAGACCAUAUCCAAGUAAUGGUGAGACCGUGGUGCCAGUACUAUAUUGAUGCGCAAAUUGUUUGUGAAGGAAAGACCUCUAGAAUCACUGGAUUCUAUGGGGAACCUAACACGGAGAUGAGAAAGAAAUCUUGGGAUGCUAUUAGAUAUCUUCGGUCUCAAGAUGACCUCCCUUGGAUUUGUGUGGGAGACUACAAUGAGGCGUUAUUCCAAACGGACCAGGUGGGGGGAAACGCGAGGAGUUUUACACGCAUGGGGGACUUUCGGGACUGCUUGGCCGACUGCGGACUGGCUGACUUGGGGUUCUCCGGAUACCCGUACACUUGGAAUAACAAGAGAGAUGGUGCUGAGAAUAUCCAAGUUAGAUUGGAUAGAGCUACAUGCAAUGAUAGUUUUCUGCAGGUGUACCCGGAGACGACAGUUGAGCAUAUUAUGACGGAAGAAUCAGACCAUCAAGCAAUCCUUGUGAGAGCUAUGGAGACGACUCCAAAUGCCUCCAGGGCUACGGAUCAUCCUUUUUCGCUUUGA
rnacentral:rRNA from 1 species